rnacentral:rRNA from 1 species
CCUGUAGUGGGGGAUAACGCAGCGAAAGCUGUGCUAAUACCGCAUACGAUCUACGGAUGAAAGCGGGGGACCUGCAAGGGCCUCGCGCUAUUGGAGCGGCCUAUGUCUGAUUAGCUAGUUGGUGAGGUAAAGGCUCACCAAGGCGACGAUCAGUAGCUGGUCUGAGAGGAUGAUCAGCCACACUGGAACUGAGACACGGUCCAG